rnacentral:RNase_P_RNA from 1 species
AUGGGCGGUCGCCGCCCGGGCGGCUUGCCGUCCGGGAGGAAAGUCCGAACACCAUCAGGCAGCAUGCCGCUGGAAGACGGCGGAGCCGCGUCCGCGUAAGCGGCGCGGUAUGGAAAGUGUCACAGAAAACGAAACCGCCGGAUGCGGGUGACCGCGUCCGGCAAGGGUGAAAAGGCGGGGUAAGAGCCCACCGCCCGGCCGGCGACGGCCGGGGACAGGACAAACCCCAUGCGGUGCAAGGCCAAACAGAGGAGAUGGGUUGCCUGACCCGGCCCUUCGGAAGAAGGGCCGUCCUCGGGUAAGGCCGCACCACGGCCGCAGGGCCGGGACCAUCCCCCGCGAGGGGGAAGGUAGAGUAAUGGCGACCCCCGCCGUUGUAAGGCGGCGGGAACAGAAUUCGGCUUAGGCCCAUAAAA